rnacentral:rRNA from 1 species
UGCCAGCCGCCGCGGUAAUACGGAGGGUGCAACCGUUAUCCGGAUUCAUUGGGUUUAAAGGGUGCGCAGGUGGGCUUGUAAGUCAGUGGUGAAAUACUGCCGCUUAACGGUAGAACUGCCAUUGAUACUGCGAGUCUUGAGUAUGGUUGAGGUAGGCGGAAUGUGUUGUGUAGCGGUGAAAUGCAUAGAUAUGACAGAGAACGCCGAUUGCGAAGGCAGCUUACUAAGCCAUUACUGACGCUGAGGCACGAAAGCGUGGGGAGCGAACAGGAUUAGAUA